GACGAACGCUGGCGGCGUGCUUAACACAUGCAAGUCGAACGGUAAGGCUCCAGCUUGCUGGGGUACACGAGUGGCGAACGGGUGAGUAACACGUGGGUGACCUGCCCUGCACUUCGGGAUAAGCCUGGGAAACUGGGUCUAAUACCGGAUAGGACCGCACCGUGAGGGUGUGGUGGAAAGUUUUUUCGGUGUGGGAUGGGCCCGCGGCCUAUCAGCUUGUUGGUGGGGUAAUGGCCUACCAAGGCGGCGACGGGUAGCCGGCCUGAGAGGGUGGACGGCCACAUUGGGACUGAGACACGGCCCAGACUCCUACGGGAGGCAGCAGUGGGGAAUAUUGCACAAUGGGCGGAAGCCUGAUGCAGCGACGCCGCGUGGGGGAUGACGGCCUUCGGGUUGUAAACUCCUUUCACCAUCGACGAAGGGUUUCUGACGGUAGAUGGAGAAGAAGCACCGGCUAACUACGUGCCAGCAGCCGCGGUAAUACGUAGGGUGCGAGCGUUGUCCGGAAUUACUGGGCGUAAAGAGCUCGUAGGUGGUUUGUCGCGUCGUCUGUGAAAUUCCGGGGCUUAACUCCGGGCGUGCAGGCGAUACGGGCAUAACUUGAGUACUGUAGGGGAGACUGGAAUUCCUGGUGUAGCGGUGAAAUGCGCAGAUAUCAGGAGGAACACCGGUGGCGAAGGCGGGUCUCUGGGCAGUAACUGACGCUGAGGAGCGAAAGCAUGGGGAGCGAACAGGAUUAGAUACCCUGGUAGUCCAUGUCGUAAACGGUGGGCGCUAGGUGUGGGUUUCCUUCCACGGGAUCCGUGCCGUAGCUAACGCAUUAAGCGCCCCGCCUGGGGAGUACGGCCGCAAGGCUAAAACUCAAAGGAAUUGACGGGGGCCCGCACAAGCGGCGGAGCAUGUGGAUUAAUUCGAUGCAACGCGAAGAACCUUACCUGGGCUUGACAUAUACAGGAUCGCGCCAGAGAUGGUGUUUCCCUUGUGGCUUGUAUACAGGUGGUGCAUGGUUGUCGUCAGCUCGUGUCGUGAGAUGUUGGGUUAAGUCCCGCAACGAGCGCAACCCUUGUCUUAUGUUGCCAGCACGUUGUGGUGGGGACUCGUAAGAAACUGCCGGGGUUAACUCGGAGGAAGGUGGGGAUGACGUCAAAUCAUCAUGCCCCUUAUGUCCAGGGCUUCACACAUGCUACAAUGGUCGGUACAGUGGGUUGCCAGUCCGUGAGGGCGAGCUAAUCCCGCAAAGCCGGUCUCAGUUCGGAUCGGGGUCUGCAACUCGACCCCGUGAAGUCGGAGUCGCUAGUAAUCGCAGAUCAGCAACGCUGCGGUGAAUACGUUCCCGGGCCU
rnacentral:rRNA from 1 species